AGUAUGUGUGAUCAGAUGUCUGCAAGAAAAAUAACGACGUAGAUUUUGUUGGCUCCGCAUGGAUCGCAGAAAACAUAGUAAGGUUUAAUUUAAAAUCGGUAGCCUCGUAAAAACUCUAAAUCCGAAAUAAGCGCCUAGACCACUUCCUGCGGUUCGGAAAAUACAGAGAUCGCCGUGGUGUACGAAAGAUGAACUGUCGCCAAUCCGGGUUCGGAACAACAAAUUCUGAUUCCACCCCAGCCUAAAGAGAUUGAUCUGGUGCUAAGUACAGCACCACCGUGAUGUCUAGGACGGCAACAGCUGCAGUGGCCACCAGCAACACGGUUUAGUAUGCUAUGCUGAUUUCCACUCGGCACCAAGUGUAGCUACGCAACAUUUGCGGCAGGCAACUCUUCGUCGCCGCUCUCCGCUGAGCAGUCACAGUAUGUAUUUCAAUUUCAAACGAUUGGCUCGUACCAACCGAGCUCUGUGCACCAUCCUACUACGUAUGGGUCGAACAACAGCUUCAGUGAUCCGGUUGCACCUUCCAACAGGCUCCGGCUGUGCGACAACGGGCCACCGCCUUAAAAAACACCAUGGAAAUGCCAGGAGAUAACUUUAGCAGCAUAGGUUCUCUGGAUGUGCAGUUUGGCAAUUAGUACUUUGGUACGGAAGAUGCUUUGGAUAGUGGAUAGGCGAACGGAAGGGCGCUGUAGCGUAUGAAUAUUCAAGCUUAUCCAGUUGGUCGUAUCCAUUAUGGUCCUGCGCUCAAUGUACCCAAUUUUAUUUGAGAGAAUUAAAGGACACGUUGAUCUGACCUCUUUUUACCAAGAUGUAUAUGCGGCUGGUCUGGUGCUACCGAAAACAGUUGCUGUGUAUCGGUACUACAAUCGAGAUCAACAAAACGAUGCAAAGAAUGAUAAAAAUGUACCAACUGCCGGAAGCUUAUGCCCAAUUAUUUCGUUGAUAAUAGAGGACCGCCGCUGUAUGUUUCCUACCACGCUGGCCAACUUUAUGGGAAACAUGUAUAAGCUGCAUCUUGAACUGCACAUUUUUCUGAAAAUUCGCCUGUCUUAACUGGAAACUACUAAAGCUGUGUAGCCUCUGUGUCGUCAUCCCGACAUCAUCGGUGCAGAUUUUUAGUGAAUAAUAGAGAAAAAGGUCUUCUUAUCUCAAUUAAAUUUUCAGCAUGUAAUUAAAUGCUGUAGAAGAGAUACAUGCUGCUGUUAAGGAUGUCAGAUUUUGUGUUAUAUUCCAAGUAGUGUUUUUUAUUAGAGCUUAGGUAUCAGAAGCUGAAUCUUAGCAGUUAGUCAUAGGUAAAAAGUAUAACAAUCACGAGUGCUUAUAUUGGUUAAAGAAAGGAAGAUCUAUACAAAAACAAAGAUUGUAAUUGAAUAAUAAAUUUAG